GAUGAACGCUGGCGGCGUGCCUAAUACAUGCAAGUCGAGCGAACGGACGAGAAGCUUGCUUCUCUGAUGUUAGCGGCGGACGGGUGAGUAACACGUGUAUAACCUACCUAUAAGACUGGGAUAACUUCGGGAAACCGGAGCUAAUACCGGAUAAUCUUUUGAACCGCAUGGUUCAAAAGUGAAAGACGGUCUUGCUGUCACUUAUAGAUGGAUCCGCGCUGCAUUAGCUAGUUGGUAAGGUAACGGCUUACCAAGGCAACGAUGCAUAGCCGACCUGAGAGGGUGAUCGGCCACACUGGAACUGAGACACGGUCCAGACGCCUACGGGAGGCAGCAGUAGGGAAUCUUCCGCAAUGGGCGAAAGCCUGACGGAGCAACGCCGCGUGAGUGAUGAAGGUCUUCGGAUCGUAAAACUCUGUUAUUAGGGAAGAACAUAUGUGUAAGUAACUGUGCACAUCUUGACGGUACCUAAUCAGAAAGCCACGGCUAACUACGUG
rnacentral:rRNA from 1 species